GGAGGGUCCGAGCGUUAUCCGGAAUUACUGGGUUUAAAGGGUCCGCAGGCGGUCGAUUAAGUCAGAGGUGAAAUCCCAUAGCUCACUAUGGAACUGCCUUUGAUACUGGUUGACUUGAGUCAUAUGGAAGUAGAUAGAAUGUGUAGUGUAGCGGUGAAAUGCAUAGAUAUUACACAGAAUACCGAUUGCGAAGGCAGCUUACUAGCUUGAUACUGACGCUGAGGGGACGAAAGCGUGGGGAGCGAACAGGAUUAGAUACCCUGGUAGUCCACGCCGUAAACGAUG
rnacentral:rRNA from 1 species